AGCAGCCGCGGUAAUUCCAGCUCCAAUAGCGUAUAUUAAAGUUGUUGCAGUUAAAAAGCUCGUAGUUGAAUUUCGAGAUCAAAUUGUUGGUCGUGCCUUGGUACGCACUGGCAUUAUUGGUUUCUCCCUUCUGACGAACCAUGAUGUCAUUAAUUUGGUGUCUUGGGGAAUCAGGACUGUUACUUUGAAAAAAUUAGAGUGUUUAAAGCAGGCUCACGCUUGAAUACAUUAGCAUGGAAUAAUGAAAUAGGACGUUUGAUUCUAUUUUGUUGGUUUCUAGGAUCGACGUAAUGAUUAAUAGGGAUAGUUGGGGGCAUUAGUAUUCAAUUGUCAGAGGUGAAAUUCUUGGAUUUAUUGAAGACUAACUACUGCGAAAGCAUUUGCCAAGGAUGUUUUCAUUAAUCAAGAACGAAAGUUAGGGGAUCGAAGACGAUCAGAUACCGUCGUAGUCUUAACCAUAAACUAUGCCGACUAGGGAUCGGAUGAUGUUAAUUUUUUAAUGACUCAUUCGGCGCCUUACG
rnacentral:rRNA from 1 species